rnacentral:rRNA from 1 species
AUUGAACGCUGGCGGCAUGCCUUACACAUGCAAGUCGAACGGCAGCACGGGAGCAAUCCUGGUGGCGAGUGGCGAACGGGUGAGUAAUGUAUCGGAACGUACCUUUCAGUGGGGGAUAACGUAGCGAAAGUUACGCUAAUACCGCAUAUUCUGUGAGCAGGAAAGCAGGGGAGUCGCAAGACCUUGCGCUGAUUGAGCGGCCGAUAUCAGAUUAGCUAGUUGGUGAGGUAAAGGCUCACCAAGGCGACGAUCUGUAGCGGGUCUGAGAGGAUGAUCCGCCACACUGGAACUGAGACACGGUCCAGACUCCUACGGGAGGCAGCAGUGGGGAAUUUUGGACAAUGGGCGCAAGCCUGAUCCAGCCAUGCCGCGUGAGUGAAGAAGGCCUC